UAGGCUGCUAAUGCAAGCCC
rnacentral:miRNA from 1 species